CUUAAGCAUAUCAAUAAGCGGAGGAAAAGAAACUAACAAGGAUUCCCCCAGUAACUGCGAGUGAAGAGGGAAGAGCUCAAAUUUAGAAUCUGGCAGUUUUGGCUGUCCGAGUUGUAAAUUAGAGAAGUGUUAUCCGCGCUGGACUGUGCAUAAGUCUCUUGGAAAAGGGCAUCAUAGAGGGUGACAAUCCCGUCUUUGGCACAGACUACCAGGGCUUUUGUGAUGCGCUCUCGAUGAGUCGAGUUGUUUGGGAAUGCAGCUCUAAAUGGGUGGUAAAUUCCAUCUAAAGCUAAAUAUUGGCGAGAAACCGAUAGCGCACAAGUACCGUGAGGGAAAGAUGAAAAGAACUUUGAAAAGAGAGUUAAACAGUACGUGAAAUUGUUGAAAGGGAAACGCUUGAAGUCAGUCACAUCUUUCAGAAAUCAACCUGACUUUGUCUGGUGUACUUUCUGUUGUGAUGGGUCAGCAUCAAUUUUGACCGUUGGAUAAAGGCUUUGGGAACGUGGCAUCUUUGGAUGUGUUAUAGCCCAUGGUUACACAAUGGUUGGGAUUGAGGAACUCAGUGCUUUUUGCAUUCAGGAUGCUGGCAUAAUGGCUUUAAUCGACCCGUCUUGAAACACGGACCAAGGAGUCUAACAUACAUGCGAGUG
rnacentral:rRNA from 1 species